GGGGAUGAGGGUAGGGGGAUUGUAGAAGGGGAGGGGAAAAGGGCAGGGAAGUGUGGGGAGGGGACAGAGCUUGCGGGGAUGGGUGGAGGCACAGAUAGGGGCAUGGGAGGUCAGGGGCCAGGCAGGGAGUGCAGGUCUAGGCUGCACUGUCCCCUCAGCAAGAAGUUCCUGUGGGAGGAGCUGGAACUGGUGCGGGAGGAGGUGACCUUCAUCUAUCAGAAGCUCCGUGAGUUCCUGGAGCCCACAGCCGGUGUGAGCCACCGCGCCUGGCACUAUUGUCAUUAUUAUUAUGACUGCUGUUCUCUCAUCCCUCCCCACCCCAGAUCCUGACCAAGAUGAAGCAGCAGGGUCAUGAGACAGCCGCCUGUCCGGAGACUGAAGAGAUACCGCAGGGAGCCAGUGGCUGCUGGAAGGAUGACCUCCAGAAGGAACUGAGUGAUAUAUGGUGAUGCCCAGCCUGCAGUCUGACCCCUGACCCUCCUCUGAACCCGUUCCCCCAACGGGAUCUGGCAGUGACCACCAGAACCUGGAGCCCACCUGAGUCCAGACUUCCCUCACCCCCUAGGACUCACCCCACCACGGCCCCCAACCUUAGCUGUACUGCUGUCUACACCCUGAGCAG
rnacentral:lncRNA from 1 species